rnacentral:rRNA from 1 species
UACGGGGGGGGCAAGCGUUGUUCGGAAUUACUGGGCGUAAAGGGCUCGUAGGCGGCCAACUAAGUCGGACGUGAAAUCCCUCGGCUUAACCGGGGAACUGCAUCCGAUACUGGAAGGCUUGAGUUUGGGAGAGGGAUGCGGAAUUCCAGGUGUAGCGGUGAAACGCGUAGAUAUCUGGAGGAAUACCGAUGGCGAAGGCAGGUCUCUGGGCUGACACUGACGCUCAUGCACGAAAGCGUGGGGAGCAAACAGG